rnacentral:rRNA from 1 species
UGAGGAAUAUUGGGCAAUGCCCGCAAGGGUGACCCAGCAACGCCGCGUGGAGGAUGAAUGUCGUAAGAUUGUAAACUCCUGUUAGAGGGGAAGAAUAGUACCGGUUGGACCGGUAUAUGACUGUACCCUCAGAGAAAGCCCCGGCUAACUACGUGCCAGCAGCCGCGGUAAUACGUAGGGGGCAAGCGUUGUCCGGAUUUACUGGGUGUAAAGGGCGCGCAGGCGGGAUAAAAAGUCAGUGGUGAAAUCCUACAGCUUAACUGUAGAACUGCUUUUGAUACUUUUAUUCUUGAGUUCGGGAGAGAGAGACGGAAUUCCAGGUGUAGUGGUGAAAUACGUAGAUAUCUGGAAGAACACCAGUUGCGAAGGCGGUCUCUUGGUCCGACACUGACGCUGAGGCGCGAAAGCGUGGGGAGCAAACA